rnacentral:rRNA from 1 species
GUGCCAGCAGCCGCGGUAAUACGAAGGGGGCUAGCGUUGUUCGGAAUUACUGGGCGUAAAGCGCGCGCAGGCGGUUUCUCAAGUCAGUGGUGAAAGCCCGGAGCUCAACUCCGGAACUGCCAUUGAAACUGUGAAACUUGAGGACGAGAGAGGUGAGUGGAAUUCCCAGUGUAGAGGUGAAAUUCGUAGAUAUUGGGAAGAACACCGGUGGCGAAGGCGGCUCACUGGCUCGUUUCUGACGCUCAGGCGCGACAGCGUGGGGAUCAAACAGGAUUAGAUACCCUGGUAGUCC